ACCGCAGCUAACGCGCGUCUGAAUGUGAACUGCAGGACACAUGAACACCGACACGUUGAACGCAUAUGGCGCAUCGGACGAUUCAACCCGACCGAUGUACACAUUCUUGAGUGCCUAC
rnacentral:rRNA from 1 species